UACGUAGGGACCAAGCGUUGUUCGGAUUUACUGGGCGUAAAGGGCGCGUAGGCGGCGCGGUAAGUCACUUGUGAAAUCUCUGAGCUUAACUCAGAACGGCCAAGUGAUACUGCAGUGCUAGAGUGUGGAAGGGGCAAUCGGAAUUCUUGGUGUAGCGGUGAAAUGCGUAGAUAUCGGGAGGAACACCGGUGGCGAAGGCGGUUCUCUGGGCCUGUUCUGACGCUGAGGAGCGAAAGCGUGGGGAGCAAACAGG
rnacentral:rRNA from 1 species